GGCCCGUUGGUCAAGCGGUUAAGACUCCGCCCUCUCACGGCGGCGACAAGGGUUCGAUUCCCUUACGGGUCACCA
rnacentral:tRNA from 1 species